ACUAAAAAAAUCAAUGUCUGUUAUUUUGAAAGACGUUUGACUAUUUUCUAUAUAAACGAAGUUUGUAUUUUAUGAAAAAACAUCUUUAGAAACGAAGUUUGUAUUUUAUGAAAAAACAAAGUACAAUGUCUUUUAGAGACGAAAUAAUUGAUUUGACAGAUUCAUUUACAUUAGCAAACCACUGUGCUCUAGCGGAUUUCAUUAUUGAAUUAGAUGAAGAAUCUUACAUUCAAAAUGAAACAUCUCUUAUAAACAUAGAUUCUUCAUUAGAAACAACAUCAAUAAAUAACAUUUACAGCAUAGAUAAUAGCCAUACUUUGGAAAAAAAAGGAAACAAAAAGAAAGAA